UACGAAGGGGGCUAGCGUUGCUCGGAAUCACUGGGCGUAAAGCGCACGUAGGCGGACUCUUAAGUCGGUGGUGAAAUCCUGGAGCUCAACUCCAGAACUGCCUCGAUACUGGAAGACUCGAGUCCGGGAGAGGUGAGUGGAACUGCGAGUGUAGAGGUGAAAUUCGUAGAUAUUCGCAAGAACACCAGUGGCGAAGGCGGCUCACUGGCCCGGUACUGACGCUGAGGUGCGAAAGCGUGGGGAGCAAACAGG
rnacentral:rRNA from 1 species